rnacentral:tRNA from 1 species
GGAAGGAUGCCGGAGAUGGCUGAACGGGCACGCCUGGAGAGCGUGUAGACGGGAAACCUGUCUCGUGGGUUCGAAUCCCACUCCUUCCGCCA